rnacentral:lncRNA from 1 species
AAAGCCCCUCAUUCAAACAUUUCCCUCAUAUGAGCUAGUAGGCCCCGCCACGCCGAAAAUCGCCUUCGGCGGUGGCGGACGUCCAAAACCUACAAUCCUCACAUCAAUGAAACCGUCUUCGUCUCCUCUACCCUAAUCCACCCUCGCUUUCUUCCAAUUCUCAACCAAACAUUCAAACCGAAGCCAAUUGCACAUGAACCCUAAUUCACUAAAACAAUAAUUAAACACAAGUAUGGAGGAAUCAAAGCCUAAUUCCUUAGCGUUUAGAUUCCUCAGGUAAAACCUCACAUGGAUGCAACAAGAAUAAGGGAAAAUGAAGGAGUAAUGAGGAGAUCCUACAUACAAGGACGAGUUAUUCCCCGGUUAGUAUUGAAUUUGACACAAAUGAAGAUGAGGACAAAGAAACUGCAUGUAAGCUUCAAUCUCACCAUUUCUUCCAUUCAAUUAUUUCCUCUUCUUCUUAAACUCUUUAGCCUGUAGGAUUGCUUCUUGUUGUUGUGUUCUUAUUUUUGUUGUGAUGAGUGAUGGAAAGUGAUUAAGGUGAGGUUCAAAGCUCAACUAUUUAAAGCUUUAAGUGUUGAAGCUCUAACAACAAUGAGAAGAGCUUGUGGUGAGGGUGAGGGAAUGGUUUAGAGUGAGAGAGAAAAUCCAUAGUUCUAAGGUGAUGAUUAUGAUAAUGAUCCCUCCUAAUUGAAUAAUGGAGUGUGUAACACCCUAAAAUUUUCCCUCCUCAUUCAUGCAUUCACUUUUAGGUCAUUUAACAUUUCAUAUUGCAUUUCAUCAUGUCAAUCAGAAUCAGAUCCAAGAAGCUUGAAUAUCAUCCAAGACACUUUGUGGGUUCUAUCCGGAUGAUCAGUCAACACAAGGGAAAAACUUGAGUUACUUACAACAGGUUCAAAUGGGGUCUAUUCAUCAUUCAAAACGCUAAUCUUGAAGGAGCAAAAUUCUGUUCCUGAGUUGUCAUGCUCGCUAGGCGAACAACAUGGUUCGCCUAGCGAACCUUGAACUGUCAUGCUCGCUAGGCGAAGCCCACGCGUUUUUGAAAUAUAUCAGAAAAAUCUUGGGCUUGAGUUGCCCUCAUUUGAGCCCACAAAGCCACGAAAAUCAGGUUAUAAAUACUAGAGUUUCAGUGGAACAAAAGACUGAAGAAAAAAAAGGGGAGAAAAAGAGGAGACCUACGAACUAAUCUGCAGCAGCCUCCAGACAGCUCUGAAAAGUUCACUCUGACUCACACACUUUUGCACCUCCAUCUCACGCAAACCCUAACGUUGCUUUGCAAACCCAGCCGUGCCAUUCGAUUUCAAUUGAUCUCUCCAAUCAGGUUUACCCUAUUUUCGCUGCUUUUAUGCUUUCAAUUUGAAUUCUCUGAAUGUAUGGGGUUUCAUUGGGUUUUGCCCACGGGUUUAGAUAUACAUAAAUGUAGAACAAUACCUUGAAUGUUCAAUCGUUUCGUUUCUGAGAUGGAGGCCAUAGGGUUUGGGUUACCGAGAUCAGACUAUUAUCAAUGAAGAACCCAAAACCCGCAGGCCUUCGCUAGCAUCUUCGCUAGGCGAGCCUGCAGUGAAGCUUCGCUAAGCCUUUGCUAGGCGAAGCAGUAGCGAGCGUGACAGUAAUUGAUUUUUUUCUGUUUGCUCUAAUCUAUUUUGUGUUCGUCAUGGCAUGUUUUCUCCUGAUUCCAUCCUGUUACUCUAACCUGUUUGUUGAGUUUUUGUGAGAGCUCACCUGACCCCUGAAGAGAUAGCUUGCUUAGUAUCCCACUUUAUUUGUGGGAUACCAUUUGGAGAUUUAUUCCGAUCACCUGUGCUGACUUGCUUUCUUUGGUGGUGCUAGCUUGAGAGAUCUCUGGGUUUCUUAUUUCUUUAGUUGCUCUUACUUCGGAUCUUUAUCCGUGCGGUAGAUCUCUUGAUCCCUUUUACAUUUUUCCCGCAUUUUACCGCUUUCUUAGCUGGAAGACCUCGAUAGGAGGCAAUGUUUUCGUGUGUUUACUUUUGUGCCCAAAGACCUCCCAGAAGAGGCACUAGUGCUAAAGACCUCCAUGAAGAGGCAAUUGACGAAAAAAGGGAUUAGUAGUCAAUCCCCCGUUAUUCAGUGCGUCGUUCUUUAAGAUCACACUACGUGUCGAUGCUUCAGAACAAAAGCCCAAGAUCUUUUGUCCGGUCGGUCAGUGGAGAGGGUUCCAUCCCCCACGCCUUGUCAUGAGCUCACCCUGUUCAAGGGUUUAAGAGCUAUAGGUCUUAUUACCCUUUUGAUCUGCUCACCCUGACGUUCAGUGUCAGUGGUUAAGAGCCCGUUUGAUUACCCUUCCAUGGCUUGUUUGUCGAGGUUGAUAUGACCCCUCUUGACUAAAGCCCUACCCAUAUAUGUUUGAGCCCCCCUGGUUUGUGUGUUUACUUUAUGCAUGUCUGUUUUGUAUGGUGUGCUCGUCUCCCCGUAGGAUUGCUAGGCUUCGUAUAGUCUCCUAUUUGCAUGUCAAUUAAGGUAGCACGGUUCCUUCGUCUAGGACUUCCUCUUGCGUGAGCAUUCCUAAAACGCAAACAAACCCAUUGUUUUUUUUUCUUCUCCUAAAAACACGUUCACUCCUUCUACUACAGGCGAGUAAGUCUCCAAAGGUCGAGCAUCCGAUAGAUUGCGCAGUAACGUCGUUCGUCCAAAACAAACCCCUAGCUGGCCGAACUACGUUUUGCUCUGAUUCUCAUUCCAGAUGAGAUAUGUAGGCAUAAGACGCGAUGUCUUAGCGAGCACACAUCCCUCUAACCCAUAGGUAGCCGAGCUACGAAGACUCUGAUUCUCAUAUUCAUAUGAGAUACGUAUGUAGUGGAUGCGACAUCCGUGCGAGUCAUUUUCUUUUGACCCCUCUUUUAGAUUUAUCAUGUAAUCUUAAACCCACACCCUUUAGACAAGAACAAUAAGAGUGGAUCUCGUAGAGUACUACGGAUGCGUAGGGGUGCUAAUACCUUCCCUUCGCAUAAUCGACUCCCGAACCCAAGAUUUGGUUGCGAGGCCUUGUCUUUUCCUUUCCUUUUUCCAGGUUUACUUCGAGCGUUUCCUUUCCCUCCCUUUGGGAUAAAUAACGCAUGGUGGCGACUCUUCUGUCAUUUCUUUUUCGCCGGUUGUUUUUUUUUCGCAGGUUGCGACAGCUGGCGACUCUGCUGGGGACUAUGGUUUCCCUAAGCGAGUCCCUCUUAGCUUUUGUAGGUUCUUUGUUUGUUGGGUGUUUAUUCUUUUGUACAGUUGUUUAUUCACCUGCUUUACCUUAUUGCAUGCAUGUACAUAUGUCUGCUGUAUCUGUGGGUUCUGUGGUUGUUUGUUUGUUUGUUGGGGUGGGAUGUUCUAUGAGAGAUAAGCCCACUACCCAGGCUUGAGAGUACACACAGGUUUUAGAGUGGAUAGUCAUGAGGCUUGCGUGGCAUGUUGCCACGUUAAGUCGUUCAUGAGACCCACAUUCCAGACGAGGUUUCCGUUGGAUAUAUUUUGUCCUAUGGGUGUUCCAUAACGACAGAAUGUUCCUCUAGAAAUCGUCGACUCUGGUGACCAUUUCCCGAGAACUCAGUCGAGGCCUCUCCUCCGAGAUGUGGUUAUGUUAGCUCUGGUGGGCGCAUUCUCGCUGCUCAAUCCGAGAACCCUGAGACUGGGGAACUUGCUUUAGGGUAUCCUGUUGAGGGGAGUCAGUGGAGGUCUUUUAUCCCGUAAUAAUGCCAAACCUUCAGUGGUAAACGUAUUAUUCUCGACUGAAGGGCUGAAGCGGACGAACUUCUGUUCUUAGAACCCACCAGUAAGGGGCGGGCUAAAUUCAGGAAACCUUAACCUUCAACCAACCCAGUUUUCUGGAGCAGAGUUUUGGUCUUGUAUUAUAUUCCUCAGUGGGUUUCUCUUCAGACAGUGCAACCCGACAGAUGUUCAAGCAGAUACAACAAUCUUGAUUGACAUGUCACUGCAUUGCAUUACAUCAUCUUGCAUGCAUAUCAUUUAAUACAUGUUUAUCUAUUCCCAGGGGUUUAUAUCUUCUACUUGAUUCUAGUCGGAAUUUUCUGGUUCUCAUCAACGGCUUAGUCUUUUUUUACAUUGUUCAUCUAUUGCAGACCGGAAUCAAGGGGUUAGAAUACCCUUUGGAAUUGAUAAACAUGUCCUUUGCAUUGCAUAACAUCAUCUGCAUAUUUGCAUCCAACAUCUCAUGCUUAUUCAUUUGCAAGGUCUUCCCUUUCUCGGUUUGGUUUGGCUGAUCUGUGCUUAUUAUGAAAGCUCCCAGGAAGAGUAAUGUGACCUAUCACUUUUUUGAUACUAAGAUCGGCCCAUUGCGUCAGAUAAAAGCUUUGAUUACUCCUGACCAUGUGGGUUUAUUCCGAGAUACUUAUGGCAACAUCUUACCUAUGGUUGAAGACUUGGAUGCUUCUCAGAGGAGUCUGAUACUAUUUGCACGUUCAAUUGUAGUUGUACACGUUGUUCUGGAAGGUCAAACCGGAAUUGAGAAGGGAAUGCCUUAAAGUUGAAUAAGCAGUGCAUCGCAUACCAUGCAUAUUAACCCUUGUUUGUUUUGCAGGUGUCACCGCAGUGUCUAAAGUUUGUUCCCUGUGUGUGGCAUUAUUGGUCCCAAGCGAGUCCACAAGUACCCGACAAAGGAAAAUCGUCCGCAACUAGCGAUGGACCAGGUACAGAAAGAGCUGGCUGAUAUGCGUGAAAGGAUGGAUCAGUUCAUGACAUUGAUGACUGGUAUGGCAGAAGGCCAGGAAAAGCUGAGGGAAUUGGUUGAGCAACCGAGACCCGAUCCAGAGUUGGAGAUACCAAAUGCUGAGGGAAACCCUGGUAACCCUGGGAACGCUGAUAACCCUGUGAACACUGGUAACGCGGGUAACGCAAAUGCUGAUGGAAACCCGGGUAAUGUUGGCAACACAGGGAAUGUUGGAAAUGGUAUUGGCGGAAGGUACAAUGUGAAUCAAGGAAUUCGGAUUAACGGGCGCCCCGUUACUGAAGAUUGUCAGUAUGAUCAAUUUUCUUUGCACGACGAAGCCCUCGAGACCACUCGCCGUAUGGAUGAGCUUGCUGAGAAGCUCAAAUCUUUGGAGUCUCAAAAUUCCUUAGGUUUUGAUGUCACAAAUCUUGGUCUGGUUCAGGGAGUAAGGAUCCCUCACAAGUUCAAACCCCCUACUUUUGAAAAAUACAACGAGGCUUCUUGCCCACGCACUCAUCUCCAAUCUUAUUUGGGAAGGUUGGGAGCUCACACGGAAGAUGAAAAGUUGUGGAUGUACUAUUUUGAAGAUAGUCUAACUGGAGCUUCUCGUGAAUGGUAUUCCCAUUUGUCUCUUACUACCAUCAAGAGCUGGAAAGACUUGGCGGAGGCUUUUGUCAAGCAAUAUCAAUACAACUUGGACAUGGCUCCAAAUCGGACCUUAUUGCAAGGAAUGUCUCAAACUGCCAAGGAGACCUUUAGAGAAUAUGCUCAGCGUUAGAGACAGAUUGUUGCGUCCGUCCAACCCCCUAUGUCUGAAAGGGAGAUGGCGGACAUGUUCAUGAACACUCUUCAAGGCAAUUAUAUUGAGAGAUUGGCUGCUUGCCCGUCAAUCAGCUUUGCAGAGAUAGGGAUUGCUGGAGAAAGGAUCGAGAGUCUGUUGAAGAUGGGCCGAAUUCAAGACAAUAGUGCUUCCAACUCAUCAGGUCCCAAGAAACCGUUUGCUGGUAACGGUCAGCGAAGAAGAGAAGGCGAGACAAGCGUUGUGUAUGCCGGCAGAGGCAGGGGCAGAGGACGCCCUAAUUAUUAUCAAGAUCAAGUGGCUGCAGUCACUAUUCCAACACCUGCUCCUCAACAGCAAUAACAACCGCAGUAUCAUCCGCAAUAGCAACCCAGGUACAACAAUCAACAACAAGGAGGUAAUCCGAGUCAGCAGAGACACUAUCAACAACGUCCAAGGCAGACGGACCGGGUCAUUGAGCCAAUCCCAAUGCCUUAUUCUGUAUUACUUCCCAGGCUGAUUGACCUGAAUCUGGUUAGGUUAAGAACUCUGGCCCCACCAAUCGAUCCCAAUAAUUUGCCUAGACGUUAUGAUGUCAACGCCAGAUGUGCUUUUCACUCCAACGCACCUGGCCAUACUACAGAUAAUUGCAAGGCUUUCCAGCUGAAGGUACAAGAUCUGAGAGAUGCCAAGGCUAUCAAUUUUUCUCCGGUGCCUAAUGUUAUCCAAAACCCGAUGCCAGCCCACGGCGGGCAGAGGAUUAAUGCUGUUGAUAGUGGGGAAACUUUGAAUUUGGUUUCUGAUGUUAAUGUUAUCCAAAACCCGAUGCCAGCCCACGGCGGGCAGAGGAUUAAUGCUGUUGAUAGUGGGGAAACUUUGAAUUUGGUUUCUGAUGUGACUAAAGUGAAGACUUCGCUAUCGGUGGUUAAAGACCAACUCUUGAAAUGACAGAUUUUCCCGGGCUGUGGGGAAGAGUGCAGAAAUUGUCAAGCUGCCGAGAACGGAUGUGACAGUUUGAGAAGAGGUAUUCAGCAACUGAUAGAUGAAGGUUAUCUUCAGUUCGAUCAGACCCGUCCAGUGAAGAAUGAUGUGUCGAUAGUGACGAUUUAUUUCACUCUUGAAGAAAUAUAUGUUCCCGAGAGGCCCGCUCCGACAACAAUAUAUUUCCCAGAAAGUACAGAACCAACAACGGUGAACAUCGAAAGUCCAACACCAGUUAUGAUUUACUCUGACAGCCCUCAACCGGCUUUUCCGGUCACCAUCACGAUACCAGGACCUGUUCCGUAUGAGAAAGACAGUGCUAUCCCGUGGCACUAUGGGGCUGAUAUCUACUUCCAGAGGUGGAAAGUUAAUAAAGAAGACGUUGACAUUGGUAGCCCCGCUGUAGACAAUGUUGGAGGGGUUGGUGGCUUCACUCGCAGUGGACGCCUAUUUGCACCCUCAACAUUGCGCACGAAUACUGAAGCUGAGGCAGCUGCCAGGGCUAAAGGAAAACAGGUAGCCACCGAAGAGGUUACUACGGAGGAAGCUCCUCCUAAGACCACAUUCGAGAAGGAAGUGGAUGAGUUUAUGAGGAUUAUCAAGAAGAGUGACUACAAGGUAGUCUACUUGCUAAAUCAGACACCCUCAAAGAUCUCUAUUCUCUCAUUAUUUAUGUGCUCUGAGGCGCACAUAGCAGCCUUGUUGAAAGUUUUGAAUAUAGCCUAUGUUCCACCAGAGAUAACUGUUAACCAGCUGGAGUCGGUAGUUUCAAAUGUAAACGCUAGCCAUGGGCUAGGUUUCACCGAUUAUGACCUGACAUCUGAGGGCAGGAAUCACAACAAAGCUUUCAUAUCAGCAAUGGAAUGCAAAGGGGCAGUGCUUUCCCAUGUUUUGGUUAUACAGGCCUUCUUCUCUAAAUUCUUGCCAAGAAGCCCUUAAUGAAAGUUGGAUUGCGAUGGCAUCAUCCUGAGGCCAAAGUAAUUUAGUUUAAGAUAGAAUAGCUGCUAAGAAGAUCUGUUUGGCGAAGUUGAGUUGCCGAGUUAAGAUUGGAACCGCAGUGUUCAAGGGCAGCCUUUUUAUGUGAUGGAUAUCCAUAUCCAGCCGGCCUAUAGUGUCUCUAGGUGCGGCCUGGUUCUUGAUGCCGUGCUGUUACUUCUACUCUCCACCAGAAGCUCAAAAUAUGAACUGAAGGUCAGGUCGUCACUGUCUGUGGUGAAGAGGAUAUUUUUGUUAGCCACCUGUCUACAUUUAAGUAUGUGGAGAUGGAUGGCGAGAUGCAUGAGAUGCUGUGUCAGGGCUUCGAAGCCAUAAACAUCAGUGAGGUCUCACCCGAAGCUGUCUUUUCACCUAAGUCUGAGAAGGUCGGGACUUCUAUCUCUUCAUACAAGCAAGCUGUUGAGGUGGUUAAAGCUGGUAAUGCCCAAGGCUGGGGAAAAUUUGUGGAGCCGAUCAUCAAAGAAGACAAGUUUGGAUUAGGGUAUACUCCGGGGUCUCAGAAGAAUAAAGUCGGUACUUUCUCCAGCGGGGGUUUGGUUUCUCCCCACAUCGUCAAUGCUGCAGAUGAAGACAAGGCUGACAGCGACUGUGACGUAGAUAGCUGGAUUCGCCCGUGUGUCCCGAGAGAAAAGCUCAACAAUUGGUCGUCUGAAAAAGUCGUCCGAGUUACUCUACUGAAAGAGUAAUUUUUAUUGUUUUCCUUUUAUUACAACGUAUUAUUUCAGAAUGUGAAACGGGUUCCACAUUACUGUCAUCUGUAGGGCCAUCCAUUUAGUUACAUUUCACAAUUAUUUUCAUCAUCAAUAAAGGACAGCUUUUGCAAACAAUUUUGUGUUCUUUUUCUUUCAAUUUUUUUUUACAGAAAAAACAAUAAAAAAUGGCAAUGUUUCUUUUCCGUUUUUCUUUCCAAAAAAAAAAAAUCUCGUUCUAAAGCAAAGCAUGAUCCUCCAUCAUGCAGAGAUGAUCACCCGGAUCUCACUGCUAACGACACUGCUAUGGCCAAGUAUGACUUCGACAAUCCUGUCUAUCAAGCCGGAGAAGGGGUCGAAACAGGAGGACCGAGCUAUUACACCUUAUCAGGAGGUGAUUGAGACUGUCAACAUCGGUACCGAAGACGACAAGAAAGAGAUCAAGAUCGGGGCCAGUCUACAGGCCGAGGUGAAAGAACAGUUGGUCAGUAUGCUUCGUGAGUACGUCGACAUCUUUGCUUGGUCCUAUCAAGAUAUGCCAGGUUUGAUACAGACAUCGUUAUGCCACAGGUUUACAUUGAAUAAGAUUAUGGCCGCGCCGGUGAAGCAGAAGUUAGCCGAACUCAUCCUGACAUGGCAAUGAAAAUCAAAAGAGAAGUUCAGAAAAGUGGGACGCAGGUUUCCUCCGUUGUGGCCAGUUACCACAUGGGUGCCAAUGAUCUUACAGUACCCAAGAAGAUGCAAAGUACGGAAUGUGCGUCGAUUACAGAGAUCUGAAUAGAGCUAGUCCGCAAACGACUUCGCCAUUACCUCAGCAUCGAAUGUUUUGUUGAUAACCAAUUCAGUUCUCCGUAUAUCUUUCCUUGGAGGUUUUCCGGUUAUAAUCAGAUCACGGAGUGGCACCGGAAGACAUGGGGAAAUGACUUCAUCACAUCAUGGGGUACUUCUGGUUACAAGGUAUGCUUUUUGGGUUGAAGAACGCCGGGGAAACGUACCAACGGGCCUAUGGUUAAACUUUUUCAUGAUAUGGAUUUCACAAAGAGAUGAAUGCUAGUGAUGAUAUGAUUGCCAAGUCCCAAACAGAAGAAAACAUCUGGACAAUCUGCAAAAGUUGCUAUUGAACAUCUGAGAAAGUAAAGUUAAGGGUGAAUCCGAACAAUGCACUUUUGAGUGCGAACUGGUAAGCUGUUAGGUUUCAUUGUAAGUGAAGACGGAAUAAGGUAGAUCCUCGCGAAGUAAAAGCUAUUCAAGAAAUUGCCUGCACCAAAAUAGAAGAGAGUUCGUGGCUUCCUGGCAGAUUGAAGCUCAUUUUUCAGGUUCAUAUUAAUCUUAAUAGCCACAUGCUAGCCGUUCAAGCUGAGAAAACGAGCAAGGGGUCAGGUGGAUGAAUGAUGUCAGAAAUCCUUUGAAAGGAAUAAAAGAGUAUUUGCAGAGCCCCCGAUUCCUAAUGCCUCCAGUAGAGGGAAGACCGUUGAUCAUGUACUGACUGUGUUAGAAAGGUCAAUGGGUGUGUGCUUCGGUCAGCAUGCGAUCAGGUCGAAAAGAGCAUGCAAUAUACUACUUAGCAAAAGUUUCGCGACUGUGAACAAAGAUACUCACGCUCGAGAAAACUUGCUGCGCUUUGGCAUGGCUGCUCGCCGAUUAAGACAGUAUAUUGUUGACUCACACGACUCUAUUAACAAAGAUGGAUCAAUCAAGUAAUUUUUGAAAAGCCACGGGCUACCCGAAGGGUUUGCCUAGGUGGCAAAUGAUACUGAUAGAAGUAUGCAUCCAAUACACUUCGCAGAAAGCCAUCAAAGAAGUGUCUUGUCAGACACUUGUAGAGCGAACGAUUGAUGAUUACCAAAUCUAUAGGUUUCGACUUUCCUUGACUGAGGACAUAUGUUUCCAAUCGAAGAUUGCGAGGAACCACUGCCGAGGAGGGCCUUACCCUAUCCAAAUGGAUUAUGAUGAUUUUUUUUUUUUUUUUUUUUUUUUUUUUUUUUUUUUUUUUUUUUGACUGGGGCGUCACGUCAACUAGGUUGCGGAGUUGGUGCAACGUGUUUGAUCACCGCCGAGGGAGGUUCAUAUGCCAUUUUGGUGCCAUAAUAACUUUGCCGCUACCCAACAUGAAGCCGAGUAUGGAAUAACUUGUAUCCUAGGACUUGAAGGAACCAUCAACCUAACGGAUUAAAAGCUGGAUGUUACGGGGAUUCAACUUGGUCAUUCAAUCAAACAACGGAAUGGUAUAGCCCACAGCUCAUUUGGUUCCUAUACAGAACUACACGAGAAGAUUGUGACUUCUUUACGAUCGGUGAAGCUGGCUUACAUUCCCUACGUGAAGAAACCAAUUUUGUUGAUCGCUUUGGCUACCUUGUCUUCGAUGAUUAGUGCUGUAUUGCAACUACGUACCUAGAAUUGAUUAUCUUCUGCUUGAUAUACCCGCUAUGUGUUGGCUGCCGAUGCAGUAUAUCGUGAUGUGAAGCCGUGGUACAAUGACUCAAGCGUUUCCGAAGAGUCAAGAUACCCAAUCGAGGCGUCUUCGAAUGAUGCGUGGGAGUCCGGUAGCUUCUUUCUGAACUCAGAUGAUACUCUGUACAAGCGAAAUUUCGACAUGGUCUUGCUCAGAUGUGUGGACAAGCAGGAAGCGGACAUGUUAAUGCAAGAAGUAAAUGAGGGAUCUUUCGGUACCCAUGCCGAAGGACAUGCAAUGGCUAAGAAGCUGUUAAGAUCGGGGUAUUAUUGGUUAACAUGCAGGCAGACUGUUACGCAUACGCCCGAAAGUGUCACAAGUGCCAGAUUUACGCAGAUAAAGUACAUAUCCCUCCCAGCCCUUUGAAUGUCAUGUCGUCACCUUGGACUUUUGCAAUGUGGGGCAUUGAUAUGAUUGGCAAGAUCGAACCGACUGCUUCCAACGGCCAUAGAUUCAUUUUGGUCGCUAUUAAUUACUUCACUAAGUGGGUGGAAGCAGCAUCCUAUGCGAAUGUUACGAAGCAGGUGGUAGCCAGAUUUCUGAAAAGAGAUAUCAUCUGCAGAUACGGAGUUCCCGAGCGGAUCAUUACUGAUAAUGGUUCGAAUCUCAAUAACAAAAUAAUGGCAGAGCUUUGCCGGGACUUCAAAAUCGAGCAUCACAAUUCUUCUCCUUACAGGCCAAAGAUGAAUGGCGCUGUUGAGGCAGCUAACAAGAAUAUUAAGAAGAUUGUGCAAAAGAUGGUGGUAACAUACAAGGACUAGCAUGAGAUGUUACCAUUCGCAUUACAUGGGUAUCGAACUUCAAUUAGAACAUCCACCGGGGCAACACCUUAUCAGCUUGUAUAUGGCAUGGAAGCAGUUCUUCCGGUCGAAGUCGAAAUUCCUUAUUUGCGGGUCCUGACGGAUGUUAAGCUGGACGAAGCAGAAUGGGUCCGUUCUCGAUACAAUCAACUGAGCCUAGUUGAGGAAAAUAGACUAGCAGCUAUAUGCCAUGGCCAAUUAUAUCAGAGACGAAUGAAGAGAGCAUUUGAUCAGAAAGUGCGCCCUCGGGAGUAUCAAGUCGGUGAAUUGGUACUCAAAAGAAUUCUUCCUCACAACACAGAUCACAGGGGCAAAUGGACACCGAACUAUGAGGGUCCAUACGUGGUUAAAAGGGUUUUCUCUGGCGGAGCUUUGAUGCUAACAACCAUGGAUGGCGAAGACUUCCCAUCCCCUGUCAACUACGUGGUUAAAAGGGUUUUCUCUGGCGGAGCUUUGAUGCUAACAACCAUGGAUGGCGAAGACUUCCCAUCCCCUGUCAACUCAGACGCAGUUAAAAAAUACUUCGCAUAAUUGACCCGCUGGACAAAGGAAAAGGAGUCCAGGCAAAAAAGGGGCAUCCCGGUGAACCAAGAGAAAAAAAACAGAAUAAAGAGGUUCAGGCAAAAAUUAGGGAUAUAAAAAAGAAAAUGUACACCCGGUGAGUCGAAGACCCGAAAGGGCGGCUCAGGCAAAAAAAGGUAUCCCGGUGGAUUGAAAACCCAAAAGGGCGGUCCACGCAAAAGAGGGAAUAAGCGAAUGACUGUAAUAUGAGUUUAAUCCAUGUUAUAUCACCGUUUCAUGCAAUCCGGCAAUCUUCGAAGGUUAAAGACCGACUAAUCAUCCACUUCAGAAAGCAAGAUGAGCAUAGCGUCUUGAGGUCAUACGAGCCAUAGCAGAGUCGAAACUCAGUGGGACCCCGUAUCCACAUUGCCAUUAGGAUAGUUUCUUUUGUUCAAUUUAUAGCGAUCGCCUCUUUUCAGGGAUCAGCUUCCUUGGGACCCCGUAUCCACAUUGCCAUUAGGAUAGUUUCUUUUGUUCAAUUUAUAGCGAUCGCCUCUUUUCAGGGAUCAGCUUCCUGAUGUACUCGCCUAUUCCUGGCACAAAUUUUUCAACCAAUAAAAUUCAAAUAAUUCAGUUAAAGAGCCUCUUUAUUUUUCAUUUAUCAGUUUGUUUGCAAAAGAGGUCUAAAUUCUUGAUUAAACAUAUUGCAUCUGAACAUAAUGGUGGCUUUUGCAGAUGAUUUGCACCGGAAAACAUUUAAAAUUGCUUUGAAUGUGCUUAAUCCCGGACAGUGAAUUCAAACCGAGUAAUUCCCCCGGGACAAACGUGUGUGAUUGCAGGUCACAGGAACCAGAUGCCAAGUCAUGAAUCCUCAAGCGGUUGACAAAGUCUCUCCUCAGCAGAGCAUGUCCCCCAGUAGAGUUGCACCUUGUAUCCCCAACAACAACGGAGUAGUUGCAAACCCAACUGACAAGAGGGUGGUGUCCCUAGUGUUCAUCUCAUUCCCCAGCAGAUUAUUUUUAACAGAUUUAUUUUAAUCCUCAGCCUGAGGACGAUUAGCAAGUUCAUAUCCCCAGCAAAGGUCGAUUCCUACGACAUUUCCCCAGGAAGUGCUCUCCCCGCAGACUCUCCUCACAGAGCCUCGCCAAACAAAGUUCCCAUAGUUGAUACUCCCCCCAGCAAGGUCAACUUUCCAAAAAAAAGAAAGCCGAUUUAUUUUCGGUGGCUCCCCGGCCCCGGCAGACGGAUCAUUCCCCACAGAGCAUUCAAGGAUUGAUACAGCGAUCCGUUCCCCACCGGAGUUUGCUUCCCCAAGUAGAUUUCUUUUUGCACCAUGAAAAACAUUUGCAUUUGCAUGCAUAUCAAGCAUACACAUAAGCUGAUAAACAGGUUCUUCAAAGCAGACCGAAGAAUUACUAGAGAACCAAAGUCAUGAGAUUCAGCCAGAGGAUCGAGUGUGUGUGAUCCAGCAGGAGGGUCAUUUCGAAGAUUCAGCCUGAGAAUCGUUUUCCGAUGAGCCAGCCUAAGGUUCAAUUUGAAGAUUCAGCCAGAGAGUCGCCUACAAGCGUUAUUUCCCCAGCAAGCCAACUAGAGGAGUAGAUUGACAGCUCAACAGAAAAUCAACCUACAAGAGGAUCCAGCCCGCGGAUCGCAAUUUAAAAACAAAGUCUAAUUGAAGAGUCGUUACAACAUGUUCUAGCCUGAAGAAUAUGUACGAAGCCCAAAAAGUGGAAUAUUCUCGAAGCUGCAUAUCUAACAUGAAGAGUGGGUGUAGAUUUCGAAGAAGGGUCAACCAGCGCAUGCCUCAGAUGCGAGAUCCUGAUGAUGGGAAUUUAUCAUCAAAACGAUCCAGAUCUAGCCAGAAGAUCGAAGUCAGGUCUAGCCCGAAGACCGAAAAUAGAUUCAGCCAGAGAAUCAAAGAAAGAAGAUCUAGCAAGAAGAUCGAAGUAGAUCUAGCCAGAAGAUCGAGGUAGAUCUAGCCAGAAGAUCGAAGUCAGGUCUAGCCCGAAGACCAAAAAUAGAUUCAGUCAGAGAAUCAAAGAAAGAAGAUCUAGCCAGAAGAUCGAAGUAGAUCUAGCCAGAAGAUUGAAGUCAUGUCUAGCCAGAAGACAAAAUCGUAUCCAACCCGAGGAUCAAAAUUAAUAUCCAACCAGAGGACUAAAUUGAGUAUAGAUUCAGCCAGAGGAUCGAAACUCCAGAUUAAGUCAAAAGACUGAUUCAGAUUCGGCCAGAGGAUCGGAAGAAAAAUAAACAACACGAUGUAUUUCAACAUUUUUAUGGUGUUCUCAGAGCGCAAAUUUUCGGUCUGUCUUUGGUAUUCAAUCACAGCUCACCCUGUUUGUCUGAUAAGCUGUUUGCUUUCAUCCUGCUCGGGUUAGCUGAUGAUUGAAUAGGGGCAGCUGUAACACCCCAAAAUUUUCCCUCCUCAUUCAUGCAUUCACUUUUAGGUCAUUUAACAUUUCAUAUUGCAUUUCAUCAUGUCAAUCAGAAUCAGAUUCAAGAAGCUUGAAUAUCAUCCAAGACACAUUGUGGGUUCUAUCCGGAUGAUCAGUCAACACAAGGGAAAAACUUGAGUUACUUACAACAGGUUCAAAUGGGGUAUAUUCAUCAUUCACAACGCUAAUCUUGAAGGAGCAAAAAUUUGUUCCUAAGUUGUCAUGCUCGCUAGGCGAGCAGCAUGGUUCGCCUAGCGAACCUUGAACUGUCAUGCUCGCUAGGCGAGCAAAUCCUUCGCUAGGCAAAGCCCAUGCAUUUUUGAAAUAUAUCAGAAAAAUCUUGGGCUUGAGCUGCCCUCAUUUGAGCCCACAAAGCCACGAAAAUCAGGUUAUAAAUACUAGAGUUUCAAUGGAACAAAAGGCUGAAAAAAAGGGGAGAAAAAGAGGAGACCUACGAACUAAUCUGCAGUAGCCUCCAGACAGCUCUGAAAAGUUCACUCUGACUCACACACUUUUUCACCUCCAUCUCACGCAAACCCUAACGUUGCUUUGCAAACCCAGCCGUGCCAUUCGAUUUCAAUCGAUCUCUCCAAUCAGGUUUACCCUAUUUCCGCUGCUUUUAUGCUUUCAAUUUGAAUUCUCUGAAUGUAUGGGGUUUCAUUGGGUUUUUCCCACGGGUUUAGAUAUACAUAAAUGUAGAACAAUACCUUGAAUGUUCAAUCGUUUCGUUUCUGAGAUGGAGGCCAUAGGGUUUGGGUUACCGAGAUCGGACUGUUAUCAACGAAGAACCCAAAACCCGCAGGCCUUCGCUAGCACCUUCGCUAGGCAAGCCUGCAGCGAAGCUUCGCUAAGCCUUUGCUAGGCGAAGCAGUAGCGAGCGUGACAGUAAUUGAUUUUUUUCUGUUUGCUCUAAUCUGUUUUGUGUUCGUCAUGGCAUGUUUUCUCCUGAUUCCAUCCUGUUACUCUAACCUGUUUGUUGAGUUUUUGUGAGAGCUCACCUGACCCCUGAAGAGAUAGCUUGCUUAGUAUCCCACUUUAUUUGUGGGAUACCAUCUGGAGAUUUAUUCCGAUCACCUGUGCUGACUUGCUUUCUUUGGUGGUGCUAGCUUGAGAGAUCUCUGGGUUUCUUAUUUCUUUAGUUGCUCUUACUUUGGAUCUUUAUCCGUGCGGUAGAUCUCUUGAUCCCUUUUACAUUUUUCCCGCAUUUUACCGCUUUCUUAGCUGGAAGACCUCGAUAGGAGGCAAUGUUUUCGUGUGUUUAAUUUUGUGCCCAAAGACCUCCCAGAAGAGGCACCAGUGCUAAAGACCUCCAUGAAGAGGCAAUUGAUGGAAAAAGGGAUUAGUAGUCAAUCCCCCGUUAUUCAGUGCGUCGUUCUUUAAGAUCACACUACGUGUCGAUGCUUCAGAACAAAAGCCCAAGAUCUUUUGUCCGGUCGGUCAGUGGAGAGGGUUCCAUCUUUAUUCAGUGCGUCGUUCUUUAAGAUCACACUACGUGUCGAUGCUUCAGAACAAAAGCCCAAGAUCUUUUGUCCGGUCGGUCAGUGGAGAGGGUUCCAUCUUUCUGAACCCCCACGCCUUGUCAUGACCUCACCCUGUCCAGGGUUAAGAGCUAUGAGGUCUUAUCCUCAUUACCCUUUUGAUCUGCUCACCCUGACGUUCAGUGUCAGUGGUUAAGAGCCCGUUUAAUUACCCUUCCAUGGCUUGUUUGUCGAGGUUGAUAUGACCCCUCUUGACUAAAGCCCUACCCAUAGAUGCUUGAGCCCCCCUGGUUGGUGUGUUUACUUUAUGCAUGUCUGUUUUGUAUGGUGUGAUCGUCUCCCCAUAGGAUUACUAGGCUUCGUAUAGUCUCCCGUUUGCAUGUCAAUUAAGGUAGCACGGUUCCUUCGUCUAGGACUUCCUCUUGCGUGAGCAUUCCUAAAACGCAAACAAACCCAUUGUUUUUUUUCUUCUCCUAAAAACACGUUCACUCCUUCUACUACAGGCGAGUAAGUCUCCAAAGGCCGAGUAUCCGGUAGAUUGCGCAGUAACGUCGUUCGUCCAAAACAAACCCCUAGCUGGCCGAACUACGUUUUGCUCUGAUUCUCAUUCCAGAUGAGAUACGUAGGCAUAAGACGCGAUGUCUUAGCGAGCACACAUCCCUCUAACCCAUAGGUAGCCGAGCUACGAAGACUCUGAUUCUCAUAUUCAGAUGAGAUACGUAUGCAGUGGAUGCGACAUCCGUGCGAGUCAUUUUCUUUUGACCCCUCUUUUAGUAAAUAGUACAUUAGAUAAACCCACACCCUUUAGACAAGAACAACAAGAGUGGAUCCCGUAGAGUACUACGGAUGCGUAGGGGUGCUAAUACCUUCCCUUCGCAUAAUCGACUCCCGAACCCAAGAUUUGGUUGCGAGGACUUGUCUUUUCCUUUCCUUUUUCCAGGUUUACUUCGAGCGUUUCCUUUCCCUCCCUUUGGAAUAAAUAACGCACGGUGACGACUCUUCUGUCAUUUCUUUUUCGCCGGUUGUUUUUUUUUCGCAGGUUGCGACAGAGUGAUGAUUAUAUAGGGCUUGGAAUUGUAAUGGCAUUAAGCUCAGUUAACUCCUAUGUUCAAAGUUUGUUGAAUGUGAUCACUAAACCUCUGUCAAUUAGUUAGUUAGGUCCUUGAAUCAAUUAACUUCUGUUAAAACUCUUAGAAAAUUAUUUUUGUUAGAUGUUAGUUAGUUUUUCAAGUGUAAGUUAGUUGGAUGUUUAAACUCUGUUAUAAAUUUCAUUUAAAUGUUAGUUUGUUCUGUUAGGGACUUUGAAUGCGUGAAUCUGUUAGUUUUAAUUACGUCAAGCUCCAUUGAAUUUAUCUAUGCAAGUUUGUUAUAUGUUAAAUUCUGUUAGAGAAAAAAAUUAGUUUCAGUUAAGUUCAGUUUAGAUGUCAGUUAGGAUGUGAGCUUGUUAUGUUGGUUAUGAGUUAAUUUAAUAAAAACAGUUAGUGUAGGUUAGUUAAAAAAGAGUUAGUGAUAUUGCUCUAUAAAAAAAGAUUUGUUAAGCAUGUUGUUAUGAGCUUUAGUUAGAGUUUAGAAUGGAUUAUGCAAGCUAUUUUCCUCUUAAUUGUGUAUGCGUACAAACUGAUUUGUAUGGUUGUUAGGAUGCUAGGAUUGUGAUGUUAUUUGAAUGAAAUUGAAGUGAGUUAAUGGUGUUAGUGAUGUGUUUGUACAUGCUGCUUUGGAUAUGAUGAUAUUUGUUUUGAAACUCUGUUAGAAUGGGUUAACUUGUUAAAUUUCGGUUAAUGGGUGGUGUCUGAAAUCGGUUAUGGUUAGUAGGUUAGUUAUAUCUAAUUGUUAAAUUUUGUUAGAUUAAUGUUGCAUUUGGGAAGCUAGCCUUGUUAGUUGAUAUAAUGCAGCCAUGAACUGAUACAUUUGAAUGUUUCUGCUUCUUGUCACAUUUAAAUUUGGAGCAAGAAGUUGUAUGUCAUUAAGACUUACUUAUCCAAUUGACUAUUGCAGAACGUAAUGCUAGGUUAGCAACUGAAAUUUUAAUGUCCUCAUGUCAAAUUAUGUUGCAUGCUAUUGAAGUGUUGUAAUAUGCAUUGACCAUCUGUCACGCUGCGAAAAAUACAGAGUCUCCAUCAAAUUUUA